rnacentral:rRNA from 1 species
GACGAACGCUGGCGGCGUGCUUAACACAUGCAAGUCGAACGAAGAGCGAUGGAAGCUUGCUUCUAUCAAUCUUAGUGGCGCACGGGUGAGUAACGCGUAAUCAACCUGCCCUUCAGAGGGGGACAACAGUUGGAAACGACUGCUAAUACCGCAUACGAUCUAAUCUCGGCAUCGAGGAUAGAUGAAAGGUGGCCCCUACAUGUAAGCUAUCACUGAAGGAGGGGAAUGCGUCUGAUUAGCUAGCUGGGGGGGUAACGGCCCACCAAGGCGAUGAUCAGUAGCCGGUCUGGGAAGAUGGACGGCCACAUUGGGACUGGGACACGGCCCAGACUCCUACGGGGAGCAGCAGGGGGGAAUCUUCCGCAAUGGACGAAAGUCUGACGGAGCAACGCCGCGUGGGUGAUGGCGGCCUUCGGGUUGUAAAGCUCUGUUAAUCGGGAAGGAAGGCCUGCUUGCGAAUAGUGAGAAGGAUUGACGGUACCGGAAUAGAAAGCCACGGCUAACUACGUG